GACGUAGGUGGCGAACGUUAUCCGGAAUUAUUGGGCGUAAAGGAUGCGUAGAUGGUGUAGUAAGUUAUCGGUGGCAAAUCGAGGCUCAACCUCGUGGAAGUCGGUAAUACUGCUAUGCUAGAGGAUAGGAGAGGUUAACGGAACUCCCUGUGGAGCGGUGAAAUGCGUAGAUAUAGGGAAGAACACCAAUAAGGCGAAGGCAGUUAACUAUUCUAUUCCUGACAUUGAGGCAUGGAAAGCGUGGGGAGCAA
rnacentral:rRNA from 1 species